rnacentral:rRNA from 1 species
AUUGAACGCUGGCGGCAGGCCUAACACAUGCAAGUCGAACGAGUGGGGACGGGUGAGUAACACGUGGGUAACCUCCCAUCAGAGGGGAUAACACUUGAAAACAGGUGCUGAACCGAUACUGCUGGAUGAGCCCGCGGUGCAUGAGCUAUUUGGUGAGGUAACGGCUCACAAAGGCAACGAUGCAUAGCGGACCUGAGAGGGUGAUCGGCCACACGGGGACUGAGACAAGGCCCAGACUCCUACGGGAGGCAGCAGUAGGGAAUCUUCGGAAAUGGACGAAAGUCUGACCGAGCAACGCCGCGUGAGUGAAGAAGGUUUUCGGAUCGUAAAACUCUGUUGUUAGAGAAGCGGUAUCUAACCAGAAAGCCACGGCUAACUACGUGCCAGCCGCCGCGGUAAUAC